CCCUACGGGGGGCAGCAGUGGGGAAUAUUGCACAAUGGGGGAAACCCUGAUGCAGCAACGCCGCGUGAGUGAAGAAGUAUUUCGGUAUGUAAAGCUCUAUCAGCAGGGAAGAAGAUGACGGUACCUGAAUAAGAAGCCCCGGCUAACUACGUGCCAGCAGCCGCGGUAAUACGUAGGGGGCAAGCGUUAUCCGGAUUUACUGGGUGUAAAGGGAGCGUAGGCGGUGCAGCAAGUCAGAAGUGAAAGCCCGGGGCUCAACUCCGGGACUGCUUUUGAAACUGUUGAACUAGAUUGCAGGAGAGGUA
rnacentral:rRNA from 1 species